rnacentral:tRNA from 1 species
GCCCACGUAGCUCAGGGGUAGAGCGCCUUCUUGGUAAGAAGGAGGUCAUGGGUUCAAAUCCCAUCGUGGGCU